CACUGCCCAGCCACCGCCGCGCCCGCCGCGCCCGCCGCUCCGGAAGACGAGCUCUGGUUCUGCCGGAAGGGGUGGGGCUGGGUGAGGUCAGGCUACAGCAGUGGGAGAGGCGUGAGGUCAGCCUGGGGCAGUUGGUGGCCUUCCUGCGCAGGUCAGGGCAGAGCCGCCGGCCUGAGAAUGAGGGCGCUGCUGAGCCCAGGGGUUGACAGCGCUGGUUCCUGCUGUGGUCCCAGAACUCCACCUGAAACCGGAGGGAAGCCGUCUGCCCGUAAAGCAUAUCCCCCCUGCUAGGAACUGAUCGAGGCCAGCAGACUCUCCAAUAUGUGUGUUUCACGCUUGCAGCACAUCGCAUUGUAGAGCCAGCCGCAUUUCAGUGGACCACAUUCUGUCACGAGGAGAUACCCCUCGUCCGAGG